rnacentral:rRNA from 1 species
AGAGUUUGAUCAUGGCUCAGAACGAACGCUGGCGGCAGGCCUAACACAUGCAAGUCGAGCGCACCUUCGGGUGAGCGGCGGACGGGUUAGUAACGCGUGGGAAUAUGCCCUUCUCUACGGAAUAGCCUCGGGAAACUGAGAGUAAUACCGUAUACGCCCUUCGGGGGAAAGAUUUAUCGGAGAAGGAUUAGCCCGCGUUAGAUUAGAUAGUUGGUGGGGUAAUGGCCUACCAAGUCUACGAUCUAUAGCUGGUUUUAGAGGAUGAUCAGCAACACUGGGACUGAGACACGGCCCAGACUCCUACGGGAGGCAGCAGUGGGGAAUCUUAGACAAUGGGCGAAAGCCUGAUCUAGCCAUGCCGCGUGUGUGAUGAAGGUCUUAGGAUCGUAAAGCACUUUCGCCAGGGAUGAUAAUGACAGUACCUGGUAAAGAAACCCCGGCUAACUCCGUGCCAGCAGCCGCGGUAAUACGGAGGGGGUUAGCGUUGUUCGGAAUUACUGGGCGUAAAGCGUACGUAGGCGGAUCAGAAAGUUAGGGGUGAAAUCCCGAGGCUCAACCUCGGAACUGCCUCUAAAACUCCUGGUCUUGAGUUCGAGAGAGGUGAGUGGAAUUCCAAGUGUAGAGGUGAAAUUCGUAGAUAUUUGGAGGAACACCAGUGGCGAAGGCGGCUCACUGGCUCGAUACUGACGCUGAGGUACGAA